rnacentral:rRNA from 1 species
CACGUAGGGUGCGAGCGUUGUCCGGAAUUAUUGGGCGUAAAGAGCUCGUAGGCGGUGUGUCGCGUCGGCCGUGAAAACCUGCAGCUUAACUGUGGGCCUGCGGUCUAUACGGGCAGACUUGAGUUCGGUAGGGGAGACUGGAAUUCCUGGUGUAGCGGUGAAAUGCGCAGAUAUCAGGAGGAACACCGGUGGCGAAGGCGGGUCUCUGGGCCGAUACUGACGUGAGGAGCGAAAGCGUGGGGAGCGAACAGGAUUAGAACCUACCGU